rnacentral:rRNA from 1 species
AAUAUUGGACAAUGGGGGAAACCCUGAUCCAGCCAUGCCGCGUGUGUGAAGAAGGUCNNNGGAUUNUCAAGCACUUUAAGUUGNGAGNAAGGGUUGUUGGCUAAUAUCCAGCAUUUUUGACGUUACCGACAGAAUAAGCACCGGCUAACUUCGCGCCAGCAGCCGCGGUAAUACGAAGGGUGCAAGCGUUAAUCGGAAUUACUGGGCGUAAAGCGGGCGUAGGUGGUUCGUUAAGUUGGAAGUGAAAGCCCCGGGCUUAACCUGGGAAUUGCUUUCAAAACUGACGAGCUAGAGUACGGUAGAGGGUAGUGGAAUUUCCUGUGUAGCGGUGAAAUGCGUAGAUAUAGGAAGGAACAUCAGUGGCGAAGGCGACUACCUGGACUGAUACUGACACUGAGGUGCGAAAGCGUGGGGAGCAAACA